GAUGAACGCUGGCGGCGUGCCUAAUACAUGCAAGUCGAACGAGGUGCUUUUGUAGCAAUACGAGAGUAUCCUAGUGGCGAACGGGUGAGUAACGCGUUGGUGACCUACCCCAAAGUGUGGGGUAACAGUCCGAAAGGAUUGCUAAUACCGCAUGUGGUCAUUGGGUUUAGAAACUGAUGACUAAAGGAGCAAUUCGCUUUGGGAGGGACCUGCGUCCCAUCAGCUAGUUGGUGAGGUAACGGCUCACCAAGGCGACGACGGGUAGGGGACCUGAGAGGGUGGCCCCCCACAAUGGAACUGAAACACGGUCCAUACACCUACGGGUGGCAGCAGUAGGGAAUAUUGCACAAUGGGCGAAAGCCUGAUGCAGCAACGCCGCGUGUGUGAUGAAGGCCUUCGGGUCGUAAAGCACUUUUCUGGGAGAUGAGAAAGGACAGUAUCCCAGGAAUAAGUCUCGGCUAACUACGUGCCAGCAGCCGCGGUAAAACGUAGGAGGCGAGCGUUAUCCGGAUUCACUGGGCGUAAAGCGCGUGCAGGUGGCGCGGUAAGUUGGGUGUGAAAUCUCCCGGCUCAACUGGGAGAGGUCAUUCAAUACUACCGUGCUUGAGAGCAGAAGAGGAAGAUGGAAUUCCCGGUGUAGUGGUGAAAUGCGUAGAUAUCGGGAGGAACACCAGUGGCGAAGGCGAUCUUCUGGUCUGUUUCUGACACUCAGACGCGACAGCUAGGGUAGUAAACGGGAUUAGAGACCCCGGUAAUCCUAGCCGUAAACGAUGUGAACUUGGCGUUGGUGGGUUAAACUCCAUCAGUGCCGUAGCAAACGCGAUAAGUUCACCGCCUGGGGACUACGGCCGCAAGGUUA
rnacentral:rRNA from 1 species